rnacentral:lncRNA from 1 species
GGGCUCUACCACUGAGCCACAACCCCAGCCCCUGUNAGGAAUAAAAAAUAUCUAGUAUCCAACAAAGUAAAAUUACUGUCUGAGAAAUGGAGAAAUCAUAAUGUACAAAAUCUUAAUAAAGUAGAGCCGGAAAUUGCAUGGAUGACAGAACUAGGAGACAAGAAUAGUAGACUACUAGAAGACUAGUAGAAAACAGACUUGUAGGAAACUAAAUAGCUAUUAUAACUUUAUCCUGUAUGUUUAAGAAGUAGAGAAAAAAUGAGAGUAUUAAGGAAAGAAAUGGAAGAUAGAAGAAAGCCUCAAAUACAGCCUGAUAUAUAUAUAUAUAUAUACCUCAGGUGAGAGAAACAGUAAAUUAGAUGCUGGGGAAGAAAUGAUUGGGUAUGGUGGUGUAUACCUGUAAUUCUAGCUACUUGGAGGCUGAGGCAGGAGGAUUGCAGGAUUGCAAGUUUGAGGCCAGACUCAGCAACUUAGUGAUAUCCUGUCUAAGAAGAAGAAGGAGAAGAAGAGGAAGAGGAAAAACAACUGAGGGUUUAAUUCCUGCUCCUGCAAAAGGAGGAGGAGGAGGAGGAAGAGGAGGACAGAUUUGUAAUUUUGAAGACAGCAACAUAAACUAUCUGAAAUAAAACAUACCAAGAAAAAAAAAAAGGAAUAUAAAACAGAGGGAAGGAAGAAAGAGAGAAAGAUUUUGAAAAGAACAACUGAGAACAGCCUAAUAUAUGCUCCUGAUUUACAAUGGAGUCACAUCUUAAUUAACCCAUUCUAAGCUGAAAAUAUCAUAAGCCUAAAAUGCCUUUAAUCACGUCACAUGGUGAACAUCAUAGCUUAGCCUAUGUCGCCUUAAACAUGCUCUGAAUACUUACAUUAGCCCAUAUUUGGGCAAAAUCAUCAGAGAUCCUAUUUUAUAAUAAGAUGUUGAUCUCAAGUGGUUUAUUGGAUACUUUAUUGAAAGUGAAAAAACCAGAAUGGUGUGUGCAUAAAGUUUUAACAUCACUAUAGAACAACAACAACAAAAAAUCAUAAGUGAACCACCAUCAGUCUGUGAGUCAUUGCCUAUAAUUAGAAUUCCAGAAGUAGAAGGGACGUGGGAGGAGAAAAAUAGUUUAAGAAAUAAUAGCCAAAGGGCUGGAGGUACGGUACAGUGGCAGAGUGCUGGCCUAGCGUGCAUAAGGCCCUAGGUUCCAUUCCCAGCACCACAAUAUAAAUCAGUUAAUUAAAAAAAAAUUGAAUAGUCAAAAGGUUUUCAAAGUAGAUAAAAGGCUGUAAACCCACAGAUUCAAGAAGCCCAGUGAUCCCCAAGGACAAAAAUGAAGGUGAAACUAAUACCAAGGCUCAUCAUAGAUUUCUAAAAGCUAGAGAUAACAAGAAAAUAUUAACAGCAGCAAGUACAGAAGGGACAUAGCUAGAGGAGAAAAGAGAAGAAAAACAGCCGACUCAGUCUCUGAGCAAUGUGAGCCAGAAGAGGGUGGGGCAACAUUUUAAAAAUACCAAAAGAAAAACAUUGUUGACUUGGCAUCCGACACUCUGCAAAGCCAUCUUUCAAAAAUGAAGACAAUAUAAAGACUUUUGCAGAGAAAGCAAAGCUAAAGAAUCCUGACAGACAUCCAGAACGACAAGAAAUGUUAAAGGAAAAAUUGCAGAUGGAAGUAAAAUCAUAAUAGAGAUCUGAAUCCGCAC